rnacentral:rRNA from 1 species
UACAGAGGGGGCAAGCGUUGUUCGGAAUUACUGGGCGUAAAGGGCGCGUAGGCGGCCUGUUAAGUCGAACGUGAAAUCCCCGGGCUCAACCCGGGAACUGCGUCCGAUACUGGCAGGCUUGAAUCCGGGAGAGGGAUGCGGAAUUCCCGGUGUAGCGGUGAAAUGCGCAGAUAUCGGGAGGAACACCAGUAGCGAAGGCGGCACUCUGGGCCGGUACUGACGCUGAGGAGCGAAAGCGUGGGGAGCGAACAGG